rfam:Triticum urartu cultivar G1812 contig861049, whole genome shotgun sequence.
CAUAUACUCCCUUCGUUCGAAAAAACUUGUCCCUUAAAUGGAUGUAUCUAGCACCAAAUUAGUGCUAAAUACAUUCAUUCGAGGAACAAGUUUGGGACAAGUUUUUUCAAACGGAGGGAGUACUGU